UACGUAGGGUGCAAGCGUUGUCCGGAAUUAUUGGGCGUAAAGAGCUCGUAGGCGGUUUGUCGCGUCUGCUGUGAAAACUCGGGGCUUAACUCCGGGCCUGCAGUGGGUACGGGCAGACUAGAGUGCGGUAGGGGAGACUGGAAUUCCUGGUGUAGCGGUGAAAUGCGCAGAUAUCAGGAGGAACACCGGUGGCGAAGGCGGCUUCCUGGGGCACCACUGACGCUGAGAAGCGAAAGCUAGGGGAGCAAACGGG
rnacentral:rRNA from 1 species